ACGACUCUCGGCAACGGAUAUCUCGGCUCUCGCAUCGAUGAAGAACGUAGCGAAAUGCGAUACCUGGUGUGAAUUGCAGAAUCCCGCGAACCAUCGAGUCUUUGAACGCAAGUUGCGCCCGAGGCCACCCGGUCGAGGGCAUGCCUGCCUGGGCGUCAUGC
rnacentral:rRNA from 1 species